rnacentral:rRNA from 1 species
UACGUAGGGGGCAAGCGUUGUCCGGAAUCAUUGGGCGUAAAGAGCGUGUAGGCGGCCCGGUAAGUCCGCUGUGAAAGUCCAGGGCUCAACCCUGGGAUGCCGGUGGAUACUGUCGGGCUCGAGUCCGGAAGAGGAGUGUGGAAUUCCUGGUGUAGCGGUGAAAUGCGCAGAUAUCAGGAGGAACACCAAUGGCGAAGGCAGCUUGCUGGGACGGUACUGACGCUGAGACGCGAAAGCGUGGGGAGCAAACAGG